UACAGAGGUCCCGAGCGUUGUUCGGAUUCACUGGGCGUAAAGGGUGCGUAGGUGGUGAGGUAAGUCGGAUGUGAAAUCUCCAAGCUCAACUUGGAAAUGGCAUUGGAAACUACCUUGCUGGAGGUUUGGAGGGGGGGACUGGAAUUCUCGGUGUAGCAGUGAAAUGCGUAGAUAUCGAGAGGAACACCAGUGGCGAAGGCGAGUCCCUGGACAAAACCUGACACUGAGGCACGAAAGCUAGGGGGGAGCAAACAGG
rnacentral:rRNA from 1 species